UACGGGGGGGGCAAGCGUUGUUCGGAAUUACUGGGCGUAAAGGGCUCGUAGGUGGCCAACUAAGUCAGACGUGAAAUCCCUCGGCUUAACCGGGGAACUGCGUCUGAUACUGGAUGGCUUGAGUUUGGGAGAGGGACGCGGAAUUCCAGGUGUAGCGGUGAAAUGCGUAGAUAUCUGGAGGAACACCGGUGGCGAAGGCGGCAUCCUGGACCGGCAUUGACGCUGAACAGCGAAAGCUAGGGGAGCAAACGGG
rnacentral:rRNA from 1 species